UACGGAGGGUGCGAGCGUUGUUCGGAAUCACUGGGCGUAAAGCGCGUGUAGGCGGCCUGCUAAGUCUGAUGUGAAAGCCCGAGGCUCACCCUCGGAAGCGCAUUGGAAACUGGCAGACUGGAGUCCCGGAGAGGAGGGUGGAAUUCCUGGUGUAGCGGUGAAAUGCGUAGAUAUCAGGAGGAACACCAGUGGCGAAGGCGGCUCACUGGCCCGGUACUGACGCUGAGGCGCGAAAGCGUGGGGAGCGAACAGG
rnacentral:rRNA from 1 species